AUGAAGACUGACAUGCUCAUCAUUUUUGUAGUCCUGGCUCUGUGGCUUCAAGUUCGCUGCCAGGAUGUGACCCAACACCCUGCAAUCAGCUGGAAUUAUGAGUCCAAAUCUGCAGAGAUGAACUGCAGCCACAACAAAGACAUUUAUCAUACCCAGAUGUACUGGUACAGGCAGCGUCCAGAGGAGACCAUGACCCUCAUUGUCUACACAGUUUAUGAGGGGAAGUCAGACUACGGGAGGCUCCCUCAAACCAAAUAUGAAACCAUCAAAGAUACCGUACAGACGGGGGCUCUUACUGUGAAAAACCUGCAGCCUGAGGACAGCGGUGUGUAUUUUUGUGCUGUCAGCAAACACAGUGACAGGAGAAGUAUGAGCAGCUGA